UGCGUAGGCGGUCGCGCAAGUCGGACGUGAAAUCUUAGGGCUCAACCCUGAAACUGCAUUCGAUACUGCGUGGCUCGAGUACUGGAGAGGAGACUGGAAUUUACGGUGUAGCAGUGAAAUGCGUAGAUAUCGUAAGGAAGACCAGUGGCGAAGGCGAGUCUCUGGACAGUUACUGACGCUGAGGCACGAAGGCCAGGGGAGCAAACG
rnacentral:rRNA from 1 species